UCGAACGGCAGCACAGUAGAGCUUGCUCUAUGGGUGGCGAGUGGCGGACGGGUGAGUAAUGCAUCGGGAUCUACCCAAACGUGGGGGAUAACGUAGGGAAACUUACGCUAAUACCGCAUACGUCCUAUGGGAGAAAGCGGGGGAUCGCAAGACCUCGCGCGGUUGGACGAACCGAUGUGCGAUUAGCUAGUUGGUAGGGUAAUGGCCUACCAAGGCGACGAUCGCUAGCUGGUCUGAGAGGAUGAUCAGCCACACUGGAACUGAGACACGGUCCAGACUCCUACGGGAGGCAGCAGUGGGGAAUAUUGGACAAUGGGCGCAAGCCUGAUCCAGCAAUGCCGCGUGUGUGAAGAAGGCCUUCGGGUUGUAAAGCACUUUUAUCAGGAGCGAAAUGCCAUUGGUUAAUACCCGGUGGAGCUGACGGUACCUGAGGAAUAAGCACCGGCUAACUUCGUGCCAGCAGCCGCGGUAAUACGAAGGGUGCAAGCGUUAAUCGGAAUUACUGGGCGUAAAGCGUGCGUAGGCGGUGACUUAAGUCUGUUGUGAAAUCCCCGGGCUCAACCUGGGAAUGGCAAUGGAUACUGGGUCGCUAGAGUGUGAUAGAGGAUGGUGGAAUUCCCGGUGUAGCGGUGAAAAUGCGUAGAGAUCGGGAGGA
rnacentral:rRNA from 1 species